UGGGGAAUAUUGGACAAUGGGCGCAAGCCUGAUCCAGCCAUGCCGCGUGUGUGAAGAAGGCCUUCGGGUUGUAAAGCACUUUUGUUGGGAAAGAAAAGCGGUCGGUUAAUACCCGGUCGUUCUGACGGUACCCAAAGAAUAAGCACCGGCUAACUUCGUGCCAGCAGCCGCGGUAAUACGAAGGGUGCAAGCGUUACUCGGAAUUACUGGGCGUAAAGCGUGCGUAGGUGGUUUGUUAAGUCAGAUGUGAAAGCCCCGGGCUCAACCUGGGAAUUGCAUUUGAUACUGGCAGACUAGAGUGCGGUAGAGGAGAGUGGAAUUCCCGGUGUAGCAGUGAAAUGCGUAGAGAUCGGGAGGAACAUCAGUUGCGAAGGCGGCUCUCUGGACCAGCACUGACACUGAGGCACGAAAGCGUGGGGAGCAAACA
rnacentral:rRNA from 1 species